CAAUAAGCGGAGGAAAAGAAACCAACAGGGAUUGCCUCAGUAACGGCGAGUGAAGCGGCAACAGCUCAGAUUUGGAAUCUGGCCCCCUCGGGGGCCCGAGUUGUAAUCUGGAGAGGAUGCUUCUGGCGCGGCGCCUGGCGAGUUCCCUGGAACGGGACGCCGGAGAGGGUGAGAGCCCCGUACUCCAGGACGCCUAGCCUCUGUGAAGCUCCUUCGACGAGUCGAGUAGUUUGGGAAUGCUGCUCUAAAUGGGAGGUAAAUUUCUUCUAAAGCUAAAUACCGGCCAGAGACCGAUAGCGCACAAGUAGAGUGAUCGAAAGAUGAAAAGCACUUUGAAAAGAGGGUCAAACAGUACGUGAAAUUGUUGAAAGGGAAGCGCCCGUGGCCAGACUUGCGCCCCGCGGCUCACCCGGCGGACUCCGCCGGGGCACGCCGCGGGGUGCAGGCCAGCAUCGGCUCUCCCAGGGGGACAAGGACGGCGGGAACGUGGCUCCUCCGGGAGUGUUAUAGCCCGCCGCGCCAUGCCCCUGGGGGGGCCGAGG
rnacentral:rRNA from 1 species